rnacentral:rRNA from 1 species
CCUACGGGUGGCUGCAGUGGGGAAUAUUGCACAAUGGGGGAAACCCUGAUGCAGCCAUGCCGCGUGUGUGAAGAAGGCCUUCGGGUUGUAAAGCACUUUCAGCGAGGAGGAAAGGGUGUAAGUUAAUACCUUACAUCUGUGACGUUACUCGCAGAAGAAGCACCGGCUAACUCCGUGCCAGCAGCCGCGGUAAUACGGAGGGUGCGAGCGUUAAUCGGAAUUACUGGGCGUAAAGCGUGCGCAGGCGGUUUGUUAAGCGAGAUGUGAAAGCCCCGGGCUCAACCUGGGAACCGCAUUUCGAACUGGCAAACUAGAGUCUUGUAGAGGGGGGUAGAAUUCCAGGUGUAGCGGUGAAAUGCGUAGAGAUCUGGAGGAAUACCGGUGGCGAAGGCGGCCCCCUGGACAAAGACUGACGCUCAGGCACGAAAGCGUGGGGAGCAAACAGGAUUAGAUACCCAAGUAGUC